AGAACGAACGCUGGCGGCAGGCUUAACACAUGCAAGUCGAACGCCCCGCAAGGGGAGUGGCAGACGGGUGAGUAACACGUGGGAACAUACCCUUCGGUUCGGAACAACGUUUGGAAACGAACGCUAAUACCGGAUACGGCCUCUGGGCGAAAGAUUCAUCGCCGAAGGAUUGGCCCGCGUUCGAUUAGCUUGAUGGUGAGGUAACGGCUCACCAUGGCGACGAUCGAUAGCUGGU
rnacentral:rRNA from 1 species